rnacentral:sRNA from 1 species
AAAUACUGAAUUAAAUAUGUGUUUUUUUUCUUCGGAAAUCUACUUUUAUUUAUUGUGCAUUGUAUACUUUUAGAAAUUAGCUGUAUGCAUGUUCUGUGCAUUAUAAAUGAAACUGUUAAUAUUAUAAAAAAAUCAUCACUAAAGGUCAGCAGAUAUCUCUUCACCAAACGUUUACAAUUGUUGACCCUGUGAGCUAAAGUAAUACAUAGUUAAUCCAAGAUUCCUCCGAUUUUUGACCAUCACCCCCUCCUUAAAUUUGAAUGAAUAAAUGUUUUUUAACAUCAAAUAAUAACAGCAAGGAUGACAGUAAAGAGGAUUUUCCGAUGAGAGAUUUGACUUUAAAAGCUUAAACAAUGGAUUGUUUGCCACGAGAUUGAAAAGCUAUGGUACUUCGGUGACAAUCAAGGCUUGUGGGGCACUUGUUUUACAUGUAAACACACAUAGUAUACAUGGCAUUGGAAUACUGAUAAUUGAAUAAAAAUCGUCAUU